rnacentral:rRNA from 1 species
GACGAACGCUGGCGGCGUGCUUAACACAUGCAAGUCGAACGAUGAAGCCGGAGCUUGCUCUGGUGAAUUAGUGGCGAACGGGUGAGUAACACGUGAGUAACCUGCCCUUGACUCUGGGAUAACUGCGGGAAACUGUAGCUAAUACCGGAUACGACCCUCGGAGGCAUCUCCUGGGGGUGGAAAGAAUUUCGGUCAAGGAUGGACUCGCGGCCUAUCAGCUAGUUGGUGAGGUAGAGGCUCACCAAGGCGACGACGGGUAGCCGGCCUGAGAGGGUGACCGGCCCCACUGGGGCUGAGACACGGCCCAGACUCCUACGGGAGGCAGCAGUGGGGAAUAUUGCACAAUGGGCGCAAGCCUGAUGCAGCAACGCCGCGUGAGGGAUGACGGCCUUCGGGUUGUAAACCUCUUUUAGCAGGGAAGAAGCGAAAGUGACGGUACCUGCAGAAAAAGCACCGGCUAACUACGUGCCAGCCGCCGCCGUAA